rnacentral:lncRNA from 1 species
GAGACCUUCUAUUCAGGAAGGGAAGUUUGGUAAUACAAUUUCUGCUGGAGAAGUGUAAAAUUAAAGAUCCCAUGACAAAAGCAGCAUUGCUGAACGUUAUUAACAAAAAGUGCAAGGACCAUUUCCCUGAGAUCCUCAGGAGAAUCUCUGAGUGCAUGGAGCUGGUCUUUGGCCUUGAAUUGAAGAAGUUGACCCCAGCAGUCAUGUCAAUGCUCUUUUCAGUGAACUGGAUGUCCCCAGCAACAGGAGUCUGAGUGGUGAUAAAGCAUUGCCUAAAAGUGGUAUCUUGAUGAUGCUCCUGGGUAUAAGCUUCAUGAAAGGUAACUGCACUGCAGAAGAGGAGAUCCGAACAUUUCUGAGUAAGAUUUGGAUCUACACUGGGAGAGUGAUUUCAUAUAUGAAGAGUCCAGAAAAAAGUUUGGUACAGGAAAGUAGCUAGAGUACCAGCAGGUGUCCAACAGAGAUCCUCUACACCAUGAAUUCCUGUGGAAUCCAAGAGUCCAUGCUGAAAUCAGCAAGAUGAAAAACUGGUGACUUUUGGUCAAAGUCAAUGAUACCAUCCCAAGGUGUCUUCCUAUCCCUUUAUACAAGGCACUGAGACAUGAG